rnacentral:rRNA from 1 species
GAUGAACGCUGGCGGCGUGCCUAAUACAUGCAAGUCGAGCGAAUGGAUUAAGAGCUUGCUCUUAUGAAGUUAGCGGCGGACGGGUGAGUAACACGUGGGUAACCUGCCCAUAAGACUGGGAUAACUCCGGGUAACCGGGGCUAAUACCGGAUAACAUUUUUGAACCGCAUGGUUCGAAAUUGAAAGGCGGCUUCGGCUGUCACUUAUGGAUGGACCCGCGUCGCAUUAGCUAGUUGGUGAGGUAACGGCUCACCAAGGCAACGAUGCGUAGCCGACCUGAGAGGGUGAUCGGCCACACUGGGACUGAGACACGGCCCAGACUCCUACGGGAGGCAGCAGUAGGGAAUCUUCCGCAAUGGACGGAAGUCUGACGGAGCAACGCCGCGUGAGUGAUGAAGGCUUUCGGGUCGUAAAACUCUGUUGUUAGGGAAGAACAAGUGCUAGUUGAAUAAGCUGGCACCUUGACGGUACCUAACCAGAAAGCCACGGCUAACUACGUGCCAGCCGCCGCCGUAA